GGGCUCUCUUCGGCAGCCUACAUGCUGAAAUUGGAAUGAUGCAGGGAAGAUUACCAUGGCCUCAACAAAACUGAUUCACAAAUUCAUCAAACAGUCAACAUUUAA